rnacentral:sRNA from 1 species
ACUAGCUAGCUUACCUUCUCUCCUUGCAGGGCUGGGGAGCGGCCGGAGCUUUGCCGAGUGUCCCUUCCUGAGUUCCAGCAGUUCCUUCUUGACUACCAGGGGGUAUGGCUGGGCUGACAUUGGCCCAGGCUGUCAGGUUGUUGGGGGCUGGGCUCAUCCCUGACUGGAGGCUUCUCUCAUCCCCUGCCCUCCCUACCCCAUCAGGAGCUGUGGGCUGUUGAUCGCCUCCAGGUGCAGGAGUUCAUGCUCAGCUUCCUCCGAGACCCCUUACGAGAGAUCGAGGAGCCAUACUUCUUCCUGGAUGAGUUUGUCACCUUCCUGUUCUCCAAAGAGAACAGUGUGUGGAACUCACAGCUGGAUGCAGUAUGCCCGGACACCAUGAACAACCCUCUUUCCCACUACUGGAUCUCCUCCUCGCACAACACGUACCUGACCGGGGACCAGUUCUCCAGUGAGUCCUCCUUGGAAGCCUAUGCUCGCUGCCUGCGGAUGGGCUGUCGCUGCAUUGAG